rnacentral:rRNA from 1 species
UGAUCCUGGCUCAGGAUGAACGCUGGCGGCGUGCCUAACACAUGCAAGUCGAACGGUAACAUGUUUCUCACCUUGGUCCUAACCUUUAUCAGUUGGUGCUGAAGUGAGAAAUGAUGACGAGUGGCGGACGGCUGAGUAACGCGUAGGAACAUGCCCCAAAGUGAGGAAUAAGCUCCAGAAAUGGAGUCUAAUGCCGCAUAUGAUCUUCGGAUUAAAGGAUUUAUCCGCUUUGGGAGUGGCCUGCGUACGAUUAGAUAGUUGGUGAGGUAAUGGCUUACCAAGUCUACGAUCGUUAGCUGGUCUGAGAGGAUGACCAGCCAGACUGGAACUGAGACACGGUCCAGACUCCUACGGGAGGCAGCAGUGAGGAAUCUUCCACAAUGGGCGAAAGCCUGAUGGAGCAACGCCGCGUGCAGGAUGAAGGCCCUCGGGUCGUAAACUGCUUUUAUAAGUGAAGAAUAUGACGGUAACUUAUGAAUAAGCACCGGCUAACUACGUGCCAGCAGCCGCGGUCAUACGUAGGGUGCAAGCAUUAUCCGGAGUGACUGGGCGUAAAGAGUUGCGUAGGUGGACAAGUAAGCGAAUAGUGAAAUCCAACGGCUCAACCGUAUGGACUGUUACUCGAACUGCUUGUCUCGAGAAUGGUAGAGGUAACUGGAAUUUCUAGUGUAGGAGUGAAAUCCGUAGAUAUUAGAAGGAACACCAAUGGCGUAGGCAGGUUACUGGACCAUUUCUGACACUGAGGCACGAAAGCGUGGGGAGCGAACAGGAUUAGAUACCCUGGUAGUCCACGC